AUAAACGAUAGAGGUCGCAACCAAUAAUAAGCUAAACAGAGCUAGAGCAUGCUGAGAAGUUUAGCCCAGGAGCGGUUGCCGAAAGAGAAGUUAUGCUCACAGACUUUUCUUGGUUUAGCGGGAAACACCUGUUAAACUGUCGUGGUCUUACUAUGGCCACGAUGCGCUAUUCGGAUG
rfam:Lactococcus garvieae Lg2 DNA, complete genome.